rnacentral:rRNA from 1 species
AUUGAACGCUGGCGGCAGGCCUAACACAUGCAAGUCGAACGAGGGGCGGACGGGUGAGUAAUGUCUGGGAAACUGCCCGAUGGAGGGGGAUAACGACUGGAAACGGUAGCUAAUACCGCAUACCAUCGGUUGGGCCCAGAGGGGAUGAGCUAGUCGGUGGGGUAACGGCUCACCUAGGCGACGAUCCCUAGCUGGUCCGCGAGGAUGACCGGCCACACUGGAACUGAGACACGGUCCAGACUCCUACGGGAGGCAGCAGUGGGGAAUAUUGCACAAUGGGCGCAAGCCUGAUGCAGCCACGCCGCGUGUAUGAAGAAGGCCUUCGGGUUGUAAAGUACUUUCAGCGAGGAGGCGUUACUCGCAGAGAAAGCACCGGCUAACUCCGUGCCAGCAGCCGCGGUAAUUC